rnacentral:rRNA from 1 species
GACAGAGGGGGCAAGCGUUGCUCGGAAUCACUGGGCGUAAAGGGCGCGUAGGCGGGAUGGCAAGUCAGUCGUGAAAUCUUUCGGCUCAACCGAGAAACGUCGGCUGAUACUGCCGUUCUUGAGGGAUGCAGAGGAGACUGGAAUUCCCGGUGUAGCGGUGAAAUGUGUAGAGAUCGGGAGGAACACCGGUGGCGAAGGCGGGUCUCUGGGCAUUUCCUGACGCUGAGGCGCGAAAGCCGUGGGGGAGCAAACGGG